AAGUCGUAACAAGGUUUCCGUAGGUGAACCUGCGGAAGGAUCAUUAUGGGAUGUUUGGUUUGAUAGUUGUGUGAACGUGAUUGUGUGAAUGGGGUGGAUCCAAUCAUUUCAGGUGAUUGGUUGCCCCACUUGUUAACAACUUUACCAUUUCUUGAUUACCUGGGAUCACUCCCAUGGGAUAAAACAACUUUUAGCAACGGAUCUCUAGGCUCUC
rnacentral:misc_RNA from 1 species